GGCAGAUGAUGUCUUUUCUUACAAUGGUCUGCAGAUGCCACUGUGGGCAGUGCUGAAAAUGCCACACGUUCAGCUGAUGCCAGUGG
ensembl:snoRNA